CCACUAUAAAAUAUUCUUAGAAUUUUCCAAUCUAUAGAUGGUGGAGGAUAUAGGAAAAUCAGUGCUUAUUAGACUCAAUGUUCUUAUUGCAACUUUACAGUGUUCUUAUUGCAACUUUGCUGAUUGAUAGAUUAAAAAUCUAAACUCUGUGGCAAGGAAAAAUAUUCCUAGAUUUGCAGUUGGGUACCAAGAAUUUUCAUCCGCUGUGAUUUGGAUGUUGUUUGUCCCCCAAAGGUUCAUGUAUUGGAAAUGUGGUCCACAGAGUAGUAAUAAUGGGAGGAGGUGGAAUUUUUUAGAGGUUAAGCCUCAUGGCAGGUCCAGUUUGGGACAUGCCUAGGAAAAACAUUAAGGUUAAGUAGCCCUGUAUGACCCAGUGGCAGUUGCCACUUGUGAGAGUUGCUAUGGAGACUGAACAUGGCUCCACCCAACUGUAUCUUGCUUUCUGUAUGUAGAGGCAAUUGCCUUCUCCUUCCACUGUAUAUGAAGUAGACAAGAGGGUCCUCAUUAGAAUGAAGUGAUGUCAGCCCAUGCCUUUGAGCCCCUACAGCAAUGAGAUAAACAAAAAGCAAUUUCUAUGUGAACCACGCAAAUGUGGGAAAUAAAUUAGUGUGGUGAGACAGAAGCAAGAAAAUGGAGCUCAAGCUCAACCUCAAUCCAUUUCUCAAAGUUGGUGUCUGUUAAUUUCUCUGCAUUUGCUCUUAUAAAUUUUUCAUUUUCA